rnacentral:rRNA from 1 species
AUUGAACGCUGGCGGAAUGCUUUACACAUGCAAGUCGAACGGCAGCACGGACUUCGGUCUGGUGGCGAGUGGCGAACGGGUGAGUAAUGUAUCGGAACGUGCCCAGUCGUGGGGGAUAACGUAGCGAAAGUUACGCUAAUACCGCAUACGAUCUAAGGAUGAAAGCGGGGGAUCGCAAGACCUCACGCGAUUGGAGCGGCCGAUAUCAGAUUAGGUAGUUGGUGGGGUAAAGGCUCACCAAGCCAACGAUCUGUAGCUGGGCUGAGAGGACGACCAGCCCGACUAGAACGUGGACGCUGUCCAGGAUCCUACGGGAGGCAGGAGAUGUGAAUUUUGGACAAUGGACGCAAGUCUGGUCCAGCCAUUCCGCGUGCAGGAUGAAGGCCCUCGGGUUGUAAACUGCUUUUGUACGGAACGAAAAGGUCUCUCUUAAUACGGGGGACUCAUGACGGUACCGUAAGAAUAAGCACCGGCUAACUACGUGCCAGCCGCCGCCGUAA